AGUACUUCGGCCCCUCUGCUCGGCUCUGAGAGCCCGGCUGGGGACUGAAGCUAAGCAUGGUCCACUGCGUGCAAUGCCUGGAAGGGAGACCCAGCCUGGCAACGCAGAGCCCAGCGUGCUCCGGGCGCAGAGCCUGGCCCUGAGGGGGACGAGGGAUGGGAGCCCUGUGGCUCCUGCCACACACCCCUUCUCCCUAACCAGCUAGACACGGUUAUUCAGCAUCAGCUGCCCCCACGCCUACGUGGCAGGGAUCAGCCCCACCCCCAGUCUCCCCCACUGGAAGUUACUGUGCAGAGCAAAGCACAGGAGCUGUGGGAGUCAGGACUCCUGCCAACGCUGGGCUGGCUCUGCGCCACAUCGGGGCUCUCGCGCUCUCUGGGGCAGCUCAGGCAUCGCUGUUGCAGGGCUGAUUCCUGUGCCCUGCAGCCCCAGCCGGAGUUGGAGACCCUGAGCAGGCUGCAGCAGAAGAGAAGGUCCUUGCUCACAGAAAGGACCAUUGACAGACAGAGCAGAGCAGUACAAGGAUCAGGGGCAGGGUGGGCACUUAUGCUUUGGUGAACUGAUACCAGGGAAUCAGAACCAGUUUGGAUGAUUUGUUACAAGAAAAUAUGGCAUAAGGCCUAUUUCUCAGUCCUGCUAAGAACAGCUUUGUAUUCUGCACUGUGGAUGCCCUAGUCACAUCUCCUCUGCGUGCCAUUCUAGACCCGAAACCCCAUUCCAGCUCUGCCCCCAUGCAGCCUUCCCUCUCAGGGCACAGCAGUGCGGAAAUAAUGCAAUUUCUAAAACUAGCCCUGGAUCUGCAGUACCGAUCAAUAUGUCUGAGCACACGAGGAGGCACCUAGAGCAAAUUAACAUUUCAGAACAGCUUCAGUGGGGUUGCAUAGAUAGCAUGCUAGGCUGUGUGUUCACACCUACAUCUCAUUCUGAACGCUUUUGCUCUGCUCAGCCCAUGGCUGGUGUUCACUCAUUUUAACAUUUUUUUUUUUAAGUUAUAGAUGAAGCACCUGCUUCCAGCAGCCAUAGCAGUCAGUCACUGCAGAGAUUCUAAAGUGGAUGAAUUUAGGCUGACAAUGCAGAGGCUCCUAGAAAUUAAUUGAAGAGAUGAAAACAGCACUGCUCCCACACACAAGGCUUCAGGGACUGAAUUAUCCUCUAAGAUGCGUCAUGAGGCCCCAUUUCUCCCAGUAGCUGUAGCUCGAGAGGCAGCUAAGCUAUAGCCCUCAGCAAGCACAGAUUUGGAGCAAAUAUAUUACUCAUUAAUUUAAUUGAAGAACGUAUCUUCUGGGGCAGCAAUUUAAUUACAGAGAAUGGGUAACUUCCAUCCCUGAGGAAAGAGAGGAGCAGUAGCAUCACAAAACAGUGAACACAACUGUCCAUCCUCAGGCUUCUCAAGGUACCCGGAGCUGUGGCCUGAAUGUACUCACUCCACCCUGCCCACUAUUGCAAGACCGUGCACACAGGGACCAGGAUCCUUCAAAUGAAGUCUGAAGCUGCCAGCAAGGGAAGGGUUGGAACAGGAAAGCAAAAAGGAAAAUUGCUUUAUUAUAGUACCAUCAUGGGGCCAGACGACCCAGCAAGCAGCUAAGGGAGG